GACAGAGGUCCCAAGCGUUAGGCGGAAUCACUGGGCUUAAAGCGUGUGUAGGCGGACUUCUAAGUACCUUGUGAAAUCCCACGGCUCAACCGUGGAACUGCUUGGUAUACUGGUUGUCUUGGGCCAUCUAGGGGGCUAGCGGAACAAACGGUGGAGCGGUGAAAUGCGUAGAUAUCGUUUGGAACGCCAAUGGUGAAAACAGCUAGCUGGGGAUGUGCCGACGCUGAGACACGAAAGCCAGGGGGAGCGAACGGG
rnacentral:rRNA from 1 species